UUAAGCGACUAAGCGUACACGGUGGAUGCCCUGGCAGUCAGAGGCGAUGAAGGACGUGCUAAUCUGCGAUAAGCGUCGGUAAGGUGAUAUGAACCGUUAUAACCGGCGAUUUCCGAAUGGGGAAACCCAGUGUGUUUCGACACACUAUCAUUAACUGAAUCCAUAGGUUAAUGAGGCGAACCGGGGGAACUGAAACAUCUAAGUACCCCGAGGAAAAGAAAUCAACCGAGAUUCCCCCAGUAGCGGCGAGCGAACGGGGAGCAGCCCAGAGCCUGAAUCAGUGUGUGUGUUAGUGGAAGCGUCUGGAAAGGCGCGCGAUACAGGGUGACAGCCCCGUACACAAAAAUGCACAUGCUGUGAGCUCGAUGAGUAGGGCGGGACACGUGGUAUCCUGUCUGAAUAUGGGGGGACCAUCCUCCAAGGCUAAAUACUCCUGACUGACCGAUAGUGAACCAGUACCGUGAGGGAAAGGCGAAAAGAACCCCGGUGAGGGGAGUGAAAAAGAACCUGAAACCGUGUACGUACAAGCAGUGGGAGCACGCUUAGGCGUGUGACUGCGUACCUUUUGUAUAAUGGGUCAGCGACUUAUAUUCUGUAGCAAGGUUAACCGAAUAGGGGAGCCGAAGGGAAACCGAGUCUUAACUGGGCGUUAAGUUGCAGGGUAUAGACCCGAAACCCGGUGAUCUAGCCAUGGGCAGGUUGAAGGUUGGGUAACACUAACUGGAGGACCGAACCGACUAAUGUUGAAAAAUUAGCGGAUGACUUGUGGCUGGGGGUGAAAGGCCAAUCAAACCGGGAGAUAGCUGGUUCUCCCCGAAAGCUAUUUAGGUAGCGCCUCGUGAAUUCAUCUCCGGGGGUAGAGCACUGUUUCGGCAAGGGGGUCAUCCCGACUUACCAACCCGAUGCAAACUGCGAAUACCGGAGAAUGUUAUCACGGGAGACACACGGCGGGUGCUAACGUCCGUCGUGAAGAGGGAAACAACCCAGACCGCCAGCUAAGGUCCCAAAGUCAUGGUUAAGUGGGAAACGAUGUGGGAAGGCCCAGACAGCCAGGAUGUUGGCUUAGAAGCAGCCAUCAUUUAAAGAAAGCGUAAUAGCUCACUGGUCGAGUCGGCCUGCGCGGAAGAUGUAACGGGGCUAAACCAUGCACCGAAGCUGCGGCAGCGACGCUUAUGCGUUGUUGGGUAGGGGAGCGUUCUGUAAGCCUGUGAAGGUGUGCUGUGAGGCAUGCUGGAGGUAUCAGAAGUGCGAAUGCUGACAUAAGUAACGAUAAAGCGGGUGAAAAGCCCGCUCGCCGAAAGACCAAGGGUUCCUGUCCAACGUUAAUCGGGGCAGGGUGAGUCGACCCCUAAGGCGAGGCCGAAAGGCGUAGUCGAUGGGAAACAGGUUAAUAUUCCUGUACUUGGUGUUACUGCGAAGGGGGGACGGAGAAGGCUAUGUUGGCCGGGCGACGGUUGUCCCGGUUUAAGCGUGUAGGCUGGUUUUCCAGGCAAAUCCGGAAAAUCAAGGCUGAGGCGUGAUGACGAGGCACUACGGUGCUGAAGCAACAAAUGCCCUGCUUCCAGGAAAAGCCUCUAAGCAUCAGGUAACAUCAAAUCGUACCCCAAACCGACACAGGUGGUCAGGUAGAGAAUACCAAGGCGCUUGAGAGAACUCGGGUGAAGGAACUAGGCAAAAUGGUGCCGUAACUUCGGGAGAAGGCACGCUGAUAUGUAGGUGAAGCGACUUGCUCGUGGAGCUGAAAUCAGUCGAAGAUACCAGCUGGCUGCAACUGUUUAUUAAAAACACAGCACUGUGCAAACACGAAAGUGGACGUAUACGGUGUGACGCCUGCCCGGUGCCGGAAGGUUAAUUGAUGGGGUCAGCGCAAGCGAAGCUCUUGAUCGAAGCCCCGGUAAACGGCGGCCGUAACUAUAACGGUCCUAAGGUAGCGAAAUUCCUUGUCGGGUAAGUUCCGACCUGCACGAAUGGCGUAAUGAUGGCCAGGCUGUCUCCACCCGAGACUCAGUGAAAUUGAACUCGCUGUGAAGAUGCAGUGUACCCGCGGCAAGACGGAAAGACCCCGUGAACCUUUACUAUAGCUUGACACUGAACAUUGAGCCUUGAUGUGUAGGAUAGGUGGGAGGCUUUGAAGUGUGGACGCCAGUCUGCAUGGAGCCGACCUUGAAAUACCACCCUUUAAUGUUUGAUGUUCUAACGUUGACCCGUAAUCCGGGUUGCGGACAGUGUCUGGUGGGUAGUUUGACUGGGGCGGUCUCCUCCUAAAGAGUAACGGAGGAGCACGAAGGUUGGCUAAUCCUGGUCGGACAUCAGGAGGUUAGUGCAAUGGCAUAAGCCAGCUUGACUGCGAGCGUGACGGCGCGAGCAGGUGCGAAAGCAGGUCAUAGUGAUCCGGUGGUUCUGAAUGGAAGGGCCAUCGCUCAACGGAUAAAAGGUACUCCGGGGAUAACAGGCUGAUACCGCCCAAGAGUUCAUAUCGACGGCGGUGUUUGGCACCUCGAUGUCGGCUCAUCACAUCCUGGGGCUGAAGUAGGUCCCAAGGGUAUGGCUGUUCGCCAUUUAAAGUGGUACGCGAGCUGGGUUUAGAACGUCGUGAGACAGUUCGGUCCCUAUCUGCCGUGGGCGCUGGAGAACUGAGGGGGGCUGCUCCUAGUACGAGAGGACCGGAGUGGACGCAUCACUGGUGUUCGGGUUGUCAUGCCAAUGGCACUGCCCGGUAGCUAAAUGCGGAAGAGAUAAGUGCUGAAAGCAUCUAAGCACGAAACUUGCCCCGAGAUGAGUUCUCCCUGACUCCUUGAGAGUCCUGAAGGAACGUUGAAGACGACGACGUUGAUAGGCCGGGUGUGUAAGCGCAGCGAUGCGUUGAGCUAACCGGUACUAAUGAACCGUGAGGCUUAACCUU
rnacentral:rRNA from 1 species